UGUGACUGGAACCAAACAUUUUGAUCUGCUCACCAACAUGUUCAUGACACGAAGCUUCUGAGACUCACGUUGUUUCCUGUUCACAAAAGAAAGUUGUUAUAUGUUAAUGUGACUUUUUCUUCUUUAAAUCUGUCAACAACCAACGUGAUUUUGGUCAAACGUGAUUUUUCACUGAGCGACAGUUUCACCUGAUGGAGAUUUAAAAAAAAAAGGACGAGAAGCUGAAUCCAGACAUUUAAACGUUCAAUGAGUCUGAGCUUCUGGGGCGGGGGGGUGAGUCGGUUCACCUGGGUCACCACCUGCACCACAGUGAAAAGCUCCAUCUGCUCACCAGUCCACCUCUGGAACGCGUCUCUGGCCCCGUCGAGCUCUUGGCCUCGUCUCCCCCCCCCCGACUGAAGAUCAGCCAGAUAACGUUAUCUCCCGACCAAUCGGACGCCUGGAUCCAUACCUCAUCCCUCAGUUCAUUGGCCUGUUCAACUCCACCCAUCUGGCACCGGAGGAGGAUGAAAACAAGGCAGGUCAAAAAGAAGUUUGUGCAAACGCUCUGAAACAGGUCGGUGCAGUGCAACAUCACAUCUGGCUCAUUGUCUUUGAAGGGACGGAGCUGGAUGUGCAGCCGGCAAGGAAGAACUCACACGUUUCACUUGAGUAAAAGUACAAGUUAACUUUUUUCACUUGCUUUUAAAUACACUUAAAGCAUUAAAAGUACUUGCCGUGUUUCCCCUAAAGCAACGGUCAACGACAUCAUAAUGGCUGUCUUCAGGAGGCGGAGUCUAAUGAUACCUGCCCUCUCUGAUUGGACCAAUUCCCCCACUCGUUAUUCAUCGCUUAAAAAAACAAUGCGAACGUGUGAUGUAAUGCUUUGUAAAAAAAGUAGUGGAGUAGAAAGUACAGAUACAUGUUAAGUGCAGUAACUAAGUAAAUGUACUUUGUUACAUCCCACCACUGCCUGCAAGUUGCAGAAUUAUGAAAGUUGUUCAGUUGAUGCAUCUGUAGUUUUAUAGAGUCACAUUAGAUCAGAAGAGCAAAAAGUAAAUUUAAAGCUUUUGAAAAUGAAGUUUUGCUGCAACAUCGUGAACUUGUUGUGUCUCUGUGUGUUUAAGUUUCCGGAGUGUGUGCGUCAGUGCCUGAGAAGAUGUCUCACUACAAACGUUUUGCUCAUUUUGACAAAACUAAUCAUAUUUAAAUGAUCUGAAAAUCAGUCUUGCUUCUUUAAAACUGACCAACCUGAGGUUUCAGUCUCUUUUUAAAAGUGUUCACACGUGAAUCUGAAUGAAAUCUUUAGUAUUUCAGUGCCUGUCUAUGUGUCUGUGCCUCUUCUGCCUC